UUGCCUUUUACUCCAUCUGUUCUUAUCAGUUUAAUAUCUGAUAUCGUCCCCAUCGGGGGACUACAUAUUAAAUGGAUUUUUCGAACAGGGAGUCGGAAAUGGGGCUUGCUCCGUCCGCUCCACGCAUCGACCCGGUAUUGCAGUACCUCCGGGAACGGUGCAACACUU
rnacentral:snRNA from 1 species